GCCAGUAUGGUGUAGUGGUUUGAGUACUGGACAAUAACUCUGGAGACCAGGGUUUGAAUCCCAGCUCAGUCA